GUUUCUAAAACAAUGACAUAUAUUGAAAGGCAUCUUGGAAGUAGUAGUCCUUUAACCUCAACAGCGUUCAAUCCGCCGUGGAAAAUGGACUACCUUUCCCAUAAUGCAACUGGUCAUGAUCAGGAACUUCCGCGAAAUUCAAACCCCCACUGUGUACUGGACGAAGGACACGCGAUCUUUUGUCUUGUGGAGUUUUAUAUAACACAGUAAGGUAAGUUAUUAAGAUACUUUUCUUUUAAAUCCACGUAGAUUGCACUUAUUGUUCUACAGCGCGAUACCUAGUUGGUUUUCGUUUUUGUUUGUUAUUCUUUUCUGUGAUGUAUUUUCGUGUAAGUGCAAGUAUUUUAUCAUCAGUCGCCAUUUAACGUAGAUAACGUUAAACAUGCAUGUUUUUACAUUAAGAGACGCAACAUGCAUGACGGGGAUGAUAAAAUAAUCAAUAAGAAGUUUGAAUCUUUAAAUGAAUGCUGAACCCCAAAGAAGCCAAACGAAGAUUAGAUGUUUUCUGUACCAAACCACAAAUCAGCAUUUGCUGAAGUCAUGUACCACACUUUGUCAACAAUAAAUGUUGUUUCUGCAAUCUGGAUAAAGAAUAAUAUAUUACUGCCUUUUGGAGAACAGCCGGCCAUACUCCAGACAGAGACAAAGACGUGAGGACAUCUAUUGCUUUUAAGUCAUGUACCACACUUUGUCAACAAUGCAUGUUGUUCCUGCAAUCUGGAUGAAGAAUAAUAUAUUACUGCCUCUUGGGAAAACAGCAGACUGUACUCCAGACAGAGACAAAGACAUGAGGACAUCCAUUGCUUUUAAGUCCUAUACCAGACUAUGUUGUUCCAGCUGUCUGGGUAAAGACUGAUACAUUACUGCCUCUUGGAGAACAGCAAACCAUUCUCCAGACAGAGACAAAGACAUGGACAUCAAAACAGAAAAUUAAGUACUUGAUCUUGGAUUGUUUGGAGUGAACGCUGGAAAAUAAUGAAGCAGGAAAUUAAAAUGCUUGACUAAAACAAUUUUUGUACUUGGCUGUAAGAAGUCCUUUGUGUGCACAGACAUGACUGGAGAUUAAAGUUACUAAAUGUUGCUUUUUUUCUAGCUGGUGACAUAACAUGGUAUUAUUUUCAAAUGUAUUUAUCUAAUACACAUUUGCACAUCUGUAAACAUUCAUUUUAUAUAGGAUGUUUUUUAUAUUUAACCAGUUGUUGUAUAUUGCUUUCUGUUAUUACAUCUGUUUUUUUUUUGCCUGUUUAUUGUUUAAAACAAUUAAGUUAAUGUUUCUCUGUUAGCUUUUGUUACUUUGGCUAUUUCUUUGCUUUUAUUUGAUCCUUCUACUGUUAUUUGUUUAUUUGGCAGAACAUUUGACAUUUCAUUUAUUUUGCUGUUAUCUGAAAUUAUCCUUGUCACCAUCAAUAAAACUCUAUAUUUGCUUUA